rnacentral:ncRNA from 1 species
CAGCAAUCUAGAAGCUGUAAUCUAGUGGCGGUAGCGUG